ensembl:lncRNA
AUGCAGACUGGCGCAUCAGAUCCUCCUGUGGUCCCAGGGCAAAUUGUUGUCUCUCAGAGCAACAUACAUCCCAGUGAAUCAGAAUCAGGGAGCAGACAUCCUGUCGAGGCAGGGGCUGAGGCUAGGGGAAUGGAGACUCCAUCCCGAGGUGGUGGAGUCAAUAUGUCAGAGGUUCGGCCCAGUGGAAGUGGAUCUAUUCGCGUCUCGGGAGAUGACUCACUGUCCACUGUGGUUCUCCCUCACACAUCCAGCCCCACUGGGGUUGGAUGCCAUGGUACAGAAGUGGCCGAGGCUGCGUCUGUAUGCUUUUCCCCCGAUCGCUCUGCUCCCGGGAGUUCGUCGCAACGGCAUCAGUCUAUUAUUGGUAGCCCCAUUGUGGCCGGCCCGAGUAUGGCUCUCAGACAUAAUAUUACUCCUGGACGGCCCUCCAUGGGAGCUUCCCGUCAGGAGGGACCUGCUGACACAGGCAGAGGGCUCAAUAUUUCACCCUCGGCCCGAACUAUGGAAACUGUGGGUCUGGCCCCUGAGGCGGCACAGUACCGAGAGGCCGGCCUGUCAGCAGGAGUAGUGGAAACCAUACUCAGCUCUAGAGCUCCUUCCACCAGGAAAUUGUACGGCCUAAAAUGGAAUGUUUUCACCAUUUGGUGCAGAGAGCGUGAGGUGGACCCAGUUAACUGCCCAGUGGCUUCAGUGCUGGAGUUCCUCCAAGAUCGCUUCUCGGCUGGUCUUACCCCGUCUACUCUCAAGGUGUACGUGGCUGCCAUUUCGGCUUUCCAUGCUCCUCUGAGUGAUGGGCCUCUUGGGAGACAGCCGUUGGUCGUACGUUUCCUCCGUGGGGCUUGGAGGAUGAGACCUGCGGCUCGUUCCAAGGUUCCCUCUUGGGACCUGGCGGUGGUUUUCGAAGGGUUGGUUGAGGCCCCCUUCGAACCGCUGGAGUCGGCUGAGGCCAAGAACCUUUCCCUAAAGGUGGCUUUCUUGUUGGCCAUUACCUCUCUGAGGAGGGUAGGAGAUCUCCAGGCACUCUCUAUAUCUAAUGGGUGCCUGAGUUUGCUCCAGGCGACAUCAAAGCCAUCCAACAUCCUAGGCCGGGCUAUUUGCCCAAGGUGCCGUCUAACGUGGCACGGCCUACGGUUCUGCAGGCUUGUCAUCCUCCGCCUCAUGUGA